rnacentral:rRNA from 1 species
UACGUAGGUGACAAGCGUUGUCCGGAUUUACUGGGCGUAAAGAGCGCGCAGGCGGUCGUUCAAGUCGAGUGUGAAAGCCCCCGGCUCAACUGGGGAGGGUCAUUCGAUACUGAUCGACUCGAAGGCAGGAGAGGGAAGUGGAAUUCCCGGUGUAGUGGUGAAAUGCGUAGAUAUCAGGAAGAACACCCGUGGCUAAGGCGGUUCUCUAGUACGGUACUGACGCUGAGACGCGAAAGCGUGGGGAGCGAACAGG